rnacentral:rRNA from 1 species
UAAUUUAAUGGCCGCGGUAUUAUGACCGUGCAAAGGUAGCAUAAUCAUUAGUCUAUUAAUUGUGGACUUGUAUGAAUGGUUGGACGAAAUAUUAACUGUCUCAUUAUUAUUAAUAUAAUUUAAAUUUUUAGUUAAAAUGCUUAAAUUAGCUUAUUGGACGAGAAGACCCUAUAGAUCUUUAUUAAUAUUAUUUAUUAUUUAUUUUGGUUUUAAUUUUUAAUAAUAUAUUUAUUUAUUUUGUUGGGGUGACAUUAAGAUAUAAUUAACUCUUAAUAAUAAUAUAUAAUUAUUUUUAUAUAUAUGACCUUUUAUUAUUGUUAUAAGAUUUAGAUACCUUAGGGAUAACAGCGUAAUUUUUUUUGAGAGUUCUUAUCGACAAAAUAGAUUGCGACCUCGAUGUUGGAUUAAGAUUAUAAAAUGGUGUAGGUGCUAUAUUAUUAGGUCUGUUCGACCUUUAAAUUCUUACAUGAUCUGAGU